GAUGAACGCUAGCGGGAGGCUUAACACAUGCAAGUCGAGGGGCAUCACGGGUAGCAAUACCUGGUGGCGACCGGCAGACGGGUGAGUAACGCGUAUGUAACCUACCCUGUACAGGGGGAUAACCCGGAGAAAUUCGGACUAAUAUCCCAUAAUGAUAUCUGGGGGCAUCUUCGGAUAUUUAAAGUUCCGGCGGUACAGGAUGGGCAUGCGUAACAUUAGCUAGUUGGUAAGGUAACGGCUUACCAAGGCUUUGAUGUUUAGGGGUCCUGAGAGGGUGGUCCCCCACACUGGUACUGAGACACGGACCAGACUCCUACGGGAGGCAGCAGUGAGGAAUAUUGGUCAAUGGGCGGCAAGCCUGAACCAGCCAUCCCGCGUGCAGGAAGACGGCCCUAUGGGUUGUAAACUGCUUUUCCAGGGAGAGAAACUUGCGUACGCGUUGCGCAAUUGACGGUACCCUGGGAAUAAGCAUCGGCUAACUCCGUGCCAGCAGCCGCGGUAAAUGACGUCAGAC
rnacentral:rRNA from 1 species